rnacentral:tRNA from 3 species
AUUCUCUCCGGCGCGUAGACGCGACGUGGGCCUUUGAAGCCCGCUGAUCGGGUGCGAUUCCCGGACGGAGUGC